CUGUCUCUCUCUCUCUCUCCUCCCCUCUCUCUCCCAUUCUGUUUCUUAAUUUAUAUCUCUCUUCUCUCUCUUUCUCUCCCUCUCACUCACCUAAUGAAUGACAGAGAGCUAGGACACUGUCAGGAGGACUUCUGAAGGAGAAUGCUGGGUAGAGUUCAUAAUAACACCGUCAGAGGAGGAGGUACAUCACAGUAGUAGACUACCAACUGUGAUGAAAAUAUCACCUCUGUAAGUUUCCAUUAUUUUGAAAGGUGUUUUGUCUUCAUUGGGCUCAGUGAUGUGAAAUGGAAGCCCAGGAUGAUGCCUCAGUCUCUCUCUGUGCAGGUUGGUGUUUUGUCUUCAUUGGGCUCAGUGAUGUGAAAUGGAAGCCCAGGAUGAUGCCUCAGUCUCUCUCUGUGCAGGUUGGUGUUUUGUCUUCAUUGGGCUCAGUGAUGUGAAAUGGAAGCCCAGGAUGAUGCCUCAGUCUCUCUCUGUGCAGGUUGGUGUUUUGUCUUCAUUGGGCUCAGUGAUGUGAAAUGGAAGCCCAGGAUGAUGCCUCAGUCUCUCUCUGUGCAGGUCCUCUGCCAAAAAGCAUACUGCUGCCUCUGUCUGCACCCACACACCUACCUACCCAACACCUGUGAGAAGGCGAGGCGAUGUUAUCGGGUUACACAUAGAACGUGAUGGAUUGGGGAUGGGAACACCUCGCGUGGAAAAGAGUUAAAGCGUUAUCGCCUAAUUGAGACGGAUGCAUUUUUAAUGACUAGCGCUGGCUCGUAGUGAGAGAGGCAUCGAAAUAUGCGAAGUCGGUGAAAAACGCUGAUGACGAGCCAGCCAAUGGCUGUAGGUUGUUCUAAGAAUAUACAGUUUUUUUCUGCACUCAUUAUACUGGUUCAAGACCUGAGAGAUUGUGUUGCGUUUGAUUGACGCCGUCUGACAUUCCAUUUUCAGAGUAAAGCACUUUUAAAAGAAUGGAAGAUUCUGCUGAUGCAAUAGUCAUAUAGAAAAUGAGAAAGCAUGUCCCAUCCCAAAGAGGCAAGAACUGUAGGAAUUGUAGACUGACUUCAAAGUGAAUUGCAUCUCACUGACACAAAGCUCCCCUGCCCAACAUAUAACCUAGUGCCUUUUCACAAUCCUGUUUUUGCCUCAUUUGAAUGAGAACCUCUAUUAAUAUUCAAUCAACUUGUCAGUUAUAAUAUUAUUUGAGGCGGCGUUGUUACCACGUAAUUUCAACCCAAAAAAUAUAUGUGGGGACAUUGAAUCACCGUUGAAAACUGAUUGAAUUUGCAAAAAAAUUAUCAACUAAAGGCAUUUUCACCAACUUUUAACCUCCAUCCAAUGACAUGGUGACAUGUUUUGUUCAGCUUCCACAAUCUUAUUAUCAAUUUAUUUCAACCAAUCACCAGUCAUUUGUGUCAGCGAUGUACAUGUUGAGUGCCCUUCUCUGUAAGCAUGCUGAAAGUCUGUUAUCAAUAGUUUUUUCCCAGCAGUUUGCUCAGAGCUGGCAGAAAGCUGAUUGGUCUGCUGUUAGAACCAGUAAAGGCUGCUUUACCAUUCUUUGGUAGCGGAAUGACUUUGGCUUCCCUCCAGGCCAGAGGACAAACACCUUCCUCUAGACUCAGAUUAAAGACAUGACAGAUAGAAGUGACUAUAGAGUCAGCUACCAUUCUCAGAACCUUCCAUCUAAGUUGUCCCUGCCAGGAUGUUUGCCAUUAUUGAUCAAUAACAAUAUUUUUUCCAACUGUCCCACACUAACUUUACAAAAUUCAAACUUACAAUGCUUUUCUUUGAUUAUUUGUGUUUUUUAUGCAUGAAUACGCAGUGGCUACCCAUCAUGUUUUGAGCCCCACAUGAUAUAUGUAUAUAUACACUACCGUUCAAAAGUCUGGGGUCACUUACUUGUUUUUGAAAGAAAAGCACAUUUUUUGUAUAUCAAAAUAACAUCAAAUUGAUCAAAAAUACAGUGUAGACAUUUUUAAUGUUGUAAAUGACUAUUGUAGCUGAAAUGGCUAAUAUUUUAUGGAAUAUCUACAUGGGCGUACAGAGGCCCAUUAUCAGCAACCAUCACUCCUGUGUUCCAAUGGCACGUUGUGUUAGCUAAUAUCAGUUUGUCAUUUUAAAAGGCUAAUUAAUCAUUAGAAAACCCUUUUGCAAUUAUGUUAGCACAGCUGAAAACUGUUGUUCUGAUUAAAGAAGCAAUAAAACUGGCCAUCUUUAGACUGUAAGGGAUUUCAUCCAUUGACGGAGAGGCGGACCAAAGCGCGGUUAUUUUGAUUAAUGUUUUAAUAAAUCACUUCACAUGAACAAACUAACAAACUAACAAAAACAAGAAACGUGAAAACCCAAAACAGCCCUAUCUGGUGCAAAACACAGAGACAGGAACAAUCACCCACAAAACCACAGUGAAACCCAGGCUACCUAAGUAUGAUUCUCAAUCAGAGACAACUAAUGACACCUGCCUCUGAUUGAGAACCAUACUAGGCCGAAACAUAGAAAUACCCCAAAACAUAGAAAAACAAACAUAGACUGCCCACCCAAUUCACGCCCUGACCAUACUAAAUAAUGACAAAACAAAGGAAAUAAAGGUCAGAACGUGACAGUACCCCCCCCAAAGGUGCGGACUCCGGCCGCAAAACCUUAACCUAUAGGGGAGGGUCUGGGUGGGCGUCUGUCCGCGGUGGCGGCUCUGGCGCGGGACGCGGACCCCACUUCACCAUUGUCUUAGUCCGCUUUAUUGUCCGCCUCCAUGGCUUUCUAACCAUGGCCACCCUUCUCAAUGACCCCACUGGACAGAGGGGCAGGUCGGGACAGAGGGGCAGAAGCUCUGGACAGAGGGGCAGAAGCUCUGGACAGAGAGGCAGAAGCUCUGGACAGAGGGGCAGAAGCUCUGGACAGAGGGGCAGAAGCUCGGGACAGAGGGGCAGCUCGGGACAGAGGGGCAGGGGCUCUGGCGCCUCUGGGCUGAGGGGCUCUGGCGCCUCUGGGCUGAGGGGCUCUGGCACCUCUGGGCUGAGGGGCUCUGGCGCCUCAGACUCCGGCAGCAGCGCCGGACAGGCGGGAGACUCCGGCAGCAGCGCCGGACAGGCGGGAGACUCCGGCAGCAGCGCCGGACAGGCGGGAGACU